ensembl:lncRNA
AAAAGAGAGAGAGAGAGCGAGCGAGCCUGGGUUCCAACAACUCUUCUACCUUGGUGAUUCUGGGUUUCUGUAAACGGGACUAGUUUCUAACCUAGUGGGACUGUGAGGAUUGAAUGAGUUGAUAUUUGUUAAGUGCUUGGAAACGUGCCUAGCAGCUGGUAAGCACUCAGUAUUUGUUAGCUAUUAUCCUGGAAGUUUAGAGGUAUCUCCAUGUAUCUGAGUAGGCUCCAUCACUGGUUUGUCUCACAGAACAGGCCUGUACAACUUUAAUUUUUUGUUUUUCAUCAAGGAAUUUCCCCCAUGAAUUCAAUAAAAUUCACUGCAGAAUUUUUUUAAACGGCCACUGACAAAUCUUUCUACGCCCCACCAAGCUUAGUUUCUGAGGUGAGCUCCUACUAGGUACCUGGUUCUCAAAGUCUGCUCAGUGCCCCCACCCUUCCCAAAACCACGCUUUACGCUCUAGCUUAAAGAGCUCAUCAGUGGAGUAGAGUAGAAGGGUGGGCCUGUUUUCAGGAAAUUUAGAGCAUUUCUGGGCAACGCCUCCUCCAUUUGGGAACGCCUUCCUGGCUUCUGAGGGCUCAGGGUGUGCCAUCGGCUGGCCCAUGUCAGAGAGGGAAGAGGGCUGGAGGCUGGUCAGCUGGAGCCCCAGGAGCCCCAGCAUGUGCUUGUCAGCCCUGGAGGCUGGGGCCACCAGACCUCAUCCACUCCUCAUCCACACUCUUGCAGCACUGACCAGUGCAAAGGGCUCCUGUUUCUCUUUCCCUGAAAAGAACAAGGCAGAAUGAAAAAAGACCGAGCAUAGGCAUCAUGAUUCCCUUAGUGCCAUGUGGGAGACUCUGGCCAAGAAACUAAAGCCUCAGUUUUCUAUAAAAGGAGAAGCCAGAUGGCUUCCACAGCUCCUUUGGAUUCUGGCCUUCCUCAAGUCUAGGAUCUCCAAAGAGCUGCUACCUCAGGGGGGCAAUGGCAGCGAUGAUGCAAAUCAGGGGGUGGGAUAGAGAAGGCUCGGAAUGGCAGAGAACAUUCCAUAGAACUCCCAAGCCUAGCUGUAGCCAAUGGGGAACUUCAGCAGCCUCUCCACUCCCCGCCCGCAGUCCAGCAUUCCCAGACUGCCACUGCCCUUACACGCCUUUCCCCAUGCCUGGCCAUAGGGCCUCGAGCUCAGUGGACAAACUGCUGUGCUUACAGCUCCCGGAAAGACUGACAGAGGUUUUCUUUUUGUACUCUGGCCAGCUGCAAACCCAAGCAGUAAGCUGUUGGAGGGCAGAUGAAUGUGGUGGAAAGAGCAGUGACCUGGGCAUCAGCGUGCUUGUGUUUGAAACACUGCAUCCUGCAUGACAGUCUCCAUCAGUAGCUUUCCAGGCUGCACGUGGCCUGACAGAGCUGAAGAGGAACAUCUCUGGGGGAAGAGGGGCCAGGGCUCCAGUGCAAGAUCAGAAGUUCCAGGGCCUGCUCACACCCACUAAAGGUGGUCAGGAGGCAGAACUGGGAACUUCCAGACUGGGCCACUAGAGUUCCGUACAGAUUCCUGCUGCCUGAAGAUUUGUGUGGUCGUCUCUCUCCCAGAAACAGUUUUCCAAGUAAGGUACGUAUACUUCUGUGAUCGGGAAGAAUGCAAAGCCAGAUGCUAAGGACUGCAGAACUCUGGAGUCAGUCUGCCAUGGGAUGGAAUCCCGGCUACUUAUUAAAUACUGCGUGGCCUUAAGCAAAUUACUGAACCUCUCUGAACUCUUCUGUUUUCUCAUCUGUAAAACAAGGAUUAUAACUGUCGAUCUCACAGGGCUGUGGAAACGAACCUAGAUAAUAAAUGAGAUGGUGUGGUGGCUCACAAGUUUGAUAAUCAUGUUAGGAGUGGAGAGUCUGGGGCCGUCUGGCCUGGGCAUCUGUCCUCAAGGCAAGCUACUCAUGAAGCAGAUUCUAGGACGUCUGGCUAAGCCCAGGAACACGAUAAAAACAUAUUAGUGACAGACGAGCAAUGCAUUCAUAAGCACAGGUCCCACUCCUUUCUUACAAGUUGCGAGAAAUGAAGGUCCAGCCAGGAGAAACAAGAGAGCAGGGCUGAAAACAGAACUUGGAUCCAGAGACUUUCAGUUUGCUCUCACCCCACCCAGAAGAUCU